rnacentral:rRNA from 1 species
CUGGACGCUAAGUUUCACUAUCUGAAUCUGAGAGCAGAGGAGGAGGAGGAUGUAACUAUUGAGGAGGAUCUGGAAGAGUUGGAGAAGGAUGUUGAGUUCAUGGCCUUGGCUAGGGUUCACACCACGCGCAAAUUCAUUCAUGGCGCAUUCUACGGAACCAUGCAUUCUGCUUGGAACUUAGCACAAGAAGUGGAGUUCAGGGUAAUUGAGGACAACCUAUUUUCAGUGCAGAUGACUUGUCUUGCAGAUUGGGAACUGGUGAUGAAUGAUUGUCCAUGGAUAUUCAAAAACUGCCCGGUCUUAAUGGCGAGUUAUGAUGGAUGGUCUGAACCUAAGGAUACUGAACUUUAUACUUAUCAAGCUUGGGUUCGUGUCAUGGGUUUGAAGGAGAAAAUGCGGCCAGGAAGCAUCGCCUCACAACUGGCGAGGAAAGUAGGUGGUGUGGAACAUGUGGAUGAGCGAUCUAAUAAAGGACAGGGUGGAGGCAUCCGGGUUAGGGUGACGCAUGAUGUACGUUAUCCACUGUUGAGAUGCGCGAGCCUAACUCUGAGAAAGAAAAAGGUCUACUUUGAUUUUGUGUAUGAGAAGAUGUUGUGCUUUUGUGGUGUGUGUGGCCUUGUGGGGCAUGUGGCGAAGGAGCAUGGGAAAGGAGUGCAUGAUGCUAGUGUCAUUGUUUAUCUCCCCUCGUUGAUAGCUGCUGAAUUUAGAAGGGAGGAGCAAUGGCAGAGCGUUGGAGGUGAAGGCAGCAGGGGGUUCGUGGUGGCAGAGGGAGAGGUGUGGGAGGGGGGCGGGGGGAUUUGGGGCCCAUAA